GGAGAAAAAGUGGAGGAAUGGCAAAGGCUGAUUGACUUUGUCAACUACUUACUUUAAAAAACAUUUGAGAAAGCCAGAAAGCAGAGGGGAUAAAGCUUCACUCUCAUGAGAAUGGGAAGCAGAGGCGGAGGCAGCAUGCACAGUCAUCCUUUGAGGGUUUGUUUUAAACAAACAAACUGAUGCCUGGGAAAAGGGCUAGUUAGGUUAUCCUUCUUGUUUCAUUAAGUGUUUGUCCUCCUUAAAAUUGAGAAUGAACAGAGACUCGUGGAUUUCAUCUUCUGAAUUUGAAAAGAAUGACACAAUGCAAUUCAGGUCAAGCUGCGGCUGCAGAAAGACGGACCCCCCAACCCAGAACAACCCUGCGUCCGGAAAACUUUGGGAUAAGACUAAGCAAACUACAACACUGGAACUUGGGGAGGGGCUUGGAGAGUUUGUUUUGGAAAGUUUUGAGCAGGAAAUCAUCUAACCACAAGAGUAAGAAAACUAAUUUUGAGCUUUAAUUUCUUUAGUCUUUCAGUUUUAGCAGGCACAGCUUUAACAUUCAUUUUCAACCCAUUGAAGAGGAGAUGAGCUUAUUGGCUAGUCCACCUUGACAACAUGUAGGUGGAAAACAGGACAUUCAGUCUUUGGUGCAGAGUGGCCUGGGAGAUACUUAUGAACCAUUUUAACACAUUUCAGGACCACGUAACAACAUCAACACUGCACUGAAGUGGUAUCGGGAAAGUCCAUCCAGAGAAGCAAUGUCUGCUAUGGAGGAAGCAGCUUCAUCAAGGUGGAAGCAGGUCUAUGCUUCCAGGCUGGUCAGUUCCAUUCAUGAAAACAGCACACUGUGGCUGACUAUGGUUUGAAGAAACAAAGGAAGCCAAAGAAAACAAAAAAAUGUUAACGGAGAAUUUAAUCCAUCUCUAAGAGGUGGAGGGAGUUUCAUUUGAAUUGCUCCCUGUUCUUUUACUCUUCCUCCCCCUUGAAGGGAGUUGGUAGAUUUGACCGGUGAGUUUAGAAGAUUAGCCCUAAACAUGUGUGGUUCAGCCCUUUUGCUCCAUUUUGUCUUGGAAAAGGGCUGGAUUCUGUGCUAUUCUCCUGUGCCUUAAGUUUUGUAGUUAUGGGAUUUAUCUAACACAGCCUGACUGGUUUGGAAAGUCUGUCUGAUUUUGAUGUUUUCUGUUACCUGGUCUGCUAACAUUUUUUUCAAGAAAUAUAGCUAGUAUUUUCUCCCUC